rnacentral:rRNA from 1 species
CAGUCGCCGCGGUAAUACAGAGGUCCCGAGCGUUGUUCGGAUUCACUGGGCGUAAAGGGUGUGUAGGAGGCUUGGUAAGUCAGGUGUGAAAUCCCGCAGCUCAACUGCGGAACUGCAUUCGAUACUGCCGAGCUAGAGGAUCGGAGGGGGAAGCGGAAUUCUUGGUGUAGCGGUGAAAUGCGUAGAUAUCAAGAGGAACACCGGUGGCGAAGGCGGCUUCCUGGAAGAUACAUGACUCUGAAACACGAAAGCUAGGGGAGCGAAUGGGAUUAGAUACCCCAGUAGUCCCUGUCUCUUAUAC